UAACGCGUGGAUAACCUGCCUUGCACUGGGGGAUAACACUUAGAAAUAGGUGCUAAUACCGCAUAAGCGCACAGAGCCGCAUGGCUCAGUGUGAAAAACUCCGGUGGUGUAAGAUGGAUCCGCGUCUGAUUAGCUAGUUGGCGGGGUAGAAGCCCACCAAGGCGACGAUCAGUAGCCGGCCUGAGAGGGUGAACGGCCACAUUGGGACUGAGACACGGCCCAAACUCCUACGGGAGGCAGCAG
rnacentral:rRNA from 1 species